UGUCCUGGCCACCCGGGUGCAGAGGGGGUGGAUGUGAGGACCUUAAUGAACUAGCUGAUGUCAAAGCCCCUUCUAGCUCCCAUUCUGAGUGAACUAGAUACACGUGUCCUGUUUGCUUGACAACCCUUUUGCAGAGGGAGGUAUUUUUCCUUCCACUUUUACCCAUGAGGAAGUGGAGGCCCAGGAAAGUGAGAGAGGUGGCUCAGCUUCCACCACUGGCCAGCGGUGUGGCCUGGAAUGCAGGCCCCAGCAACUUUGCAGCCUCCUGCCUUAAGGGAGUGGGCUGGACCCCAAAUGAAUCAGUCCCAGGCCGGGCGCGGUGGCUCACGCCUGUAAUCUCAGCACUUUGGGAGGCCAAGGUGGGUGGAUCACAAGGUUAGGAGAUCAAGACUAUCCUGGCUAACAUGGUGAAACCUCAUCUCUACUAAAAAUACAAAAAUUAGCCGGGUGUGGUGGCGUGCGCUUGUAAUCCCAGCUACUUGGGAGGCUGAGGCAGGAGAAUCGCUUGAACCCAGGAGGCGGAGGUUGCAGUGAGCUGAGAUCGCGCUGCUGCACUCCAGCCUGGGCGACAGAGCAAGACUCCACCUAAAAAAAAAAAAAAUUUAGUCCCAAAUGCCUCUCAGCUCCUGCCCUAUCCCAGACAUCUUAAAGCUCAGAGCUGGUCUGCUGCCUAUUUCCCAGCCUAGGUGCUCAGUGGAAGUUGGGCGCCUCCAGUUAUUUUCUGAGGUUGAAAAAGCUUAACUAAAAUAUAACUUUGCAGGCCAGGCACAGUGGCUCAUGCUUGUAAUCCCAACAUUUUGGGAGGCUGAGGUGGGAGGAUU
rnacentral:lncRNA from 1 species